CCCACCCAUCUCCUCGUUAUCAUCGAUUUUUUUCAAUAAAAAAACCUAAAUCAUGUAGCUUGCACUCGUUCUCGUGGAAAGAAAAAUCCUAAACCUAACUUCGAUAUUUCUCCUACUCCAAUUCUACAAGAGAAUCAUUCCCACCUUGUUAUCAAUUGUUUGCUUAUAAAAUCCUAAAUGGUGUUAACUAAGUUAACCCUAAAUACCAUUAAAAUCCAAUCAAAACUGAACCAAUUUUUGGAGUUUUCUCCUUCUUUCUUCUCCAACGACAACCUAGAUAAUCAGAAGAUCGUGUUACAAACCCUAGGGAGCAGAGGAGGUAAGGAAAAUAAGAGAGAAUUAGGUCAAUAGAAGUGGUGGCGGUGGUGUUUAUUCUUUGCCUCAUUAGAAAACGAUGAAAGAUUGGCUGUAUUGCGAACUAUUCAUGUAGGUAAAUACUCAUUCUGGUAUGAAAUUGUGUGGACGGAAUAUUGAAUGGUGGUUUUUAUAGAACCUGAAUGUACAUUACUCGGGGCAUAGCCGUCAAAAGUGUUAUUGUGCAUGCAUUUCUGAUUUUGGUGGAUUAUUUUUAAAUUUACUGUCUACGGCAGUGUAUGCAAGAAUUUUAUCACUUCGACACA